rnacentral:rRNA from 1 species
GAUCAUGGCUCAGGAUGAACGCUAGCUACAGGCUUAACACAUGCAAGUCGAGGGCAGCAUGUGGUUGCUUGCAACCAAUGAUGGCGACCGGCGCGACGGGUGAGUAACGCGUAUCCAACCUUCCCUAUAGUAGAGGAUAGCCCGGCGAAAGUCGGAUUAAUACUCUAUGUUUUCCAAUGCAGACAUCUAAAAUGGAACAAAGGUUCACCGCUAUAGGAUGGGGAUGCGUCUGAUUAGAUAGUCGGCGGGGUAACGGCCCACCGAGUCGACGAUCAGUAGGGGUUCUGAGAGGAAGGUCCCCCACAUUGGAACUGAGACACGGUCCAAACUCCUACGGGAGGCAGCAGUGAGGAAUAUUGGUCAAUGGGCGAGAGCCUGAACCAGCCAAGUAAGCGUGCAGGAUGACGGCCCUAUGGGUUGUAAACUGCUUUUAUACAGGGAUAAAGUGACGUACGUGUACGUUUUGUAGGUACUGUAUGAAUAAGGACCGGCUAAUUCCGUGCCAGCCGCGGC